UCUCCGUUGGUGAACCAGCGGAGGGAUCAUUACAGAGUUAUCCAACUCCCAAACCCAUGUGAACUUAUCUCUUUGUUGCCUCGGCGCAAGCUACCCGGGACCCAGCGCCCCGGGCGGCCCGCCGGCGGACAAACCAAAACUCUUGUUAUCUUAGUUGAUUAUCUGAGCGUCUUAUUUAAUAAGUCAAAACUUUCAACAACGGAUCUCUUGGUUCUGGCAUCGAUGAAGAACGCAGC
rnacentral:misc_RNA from 1 species